UACGUAGGGUGCAAGCGUUAAUCGGAAUUACUGGGCGUAAAGCGUGCGCAGGCGGUCUUGCAAGACAGAUGUGAAAUCCCCGGGCUUAACCUGGGAACUGCAUUUGUGACUGCAAGGCUGGAGUGCGGCAGAGGGGGAUGGAAUUCCGCGUGUAGCAGUGAAAUGCGUAGAUAUGCGGAGGAACACCGAUGGCGAAGGCAAUCCCCUGGGCCUGCACUGACGCUCAUGCUCGAAAGCGUGGGGAGCAAACAGG
rnacentral:rRNA from 1 species